ensembl:lncRNA
UAUAUAUAUAUAUAUAUAUAUAUAUAUAUAUAUAUGUGUGUGUGUGUGUGUGUGUGUGUGUGUGUGGUUCCCAAAGUGGGGAAUGUACCACAUUGCAUGGGGGGAGCGGUAUGAAUUUUGAAAAAAAGAAAGAAAGAAUGGUUGGACACUGUUAGUAUAAUAGACAGGUUUUUUGACAGACCUCCCACACAAAUGCAAAGCAGAAGCAUCACCAAAUAUGAUUCCAAACCAACUUCCUUCCAAGCCAAACACUAACAUAUGAUGAAGCAUAUCUUGCCUUUGGCUUCACCUGCACAAAGGCUGUCAAUCCAAUGGUAGGUGUCCCUGGCAGAAUUUGCUUCCCCUGCGUCAGUAGUAGAUGCUGGGCUCUCCAAAUCACGGACAAACAGUAUUCCACAUUCUUCAUUUUUAGUUCACAAACACUAUAACGACUAACUACUCCAGAAACUUUGGAGGUUUUAGCUCUUUAUACAGUAAAGUUACAGGAGGAUAUAAAUAAUUAUCAGGCAAAAUGUCCUUCGUUUGUUAGAAUAAUCCCACAUGAGAACAAUAAAUAUAUCAUUUUCUGCUGUAACCCUCAAAUUGAAUGGUAAUGUAACGACACUCAUUUUUUCCUUUUUCAUAAAACUAAAACAUACUUCCACGUCUAACAGUCUGUAAUGGAGGCAAAGUAAACUGGAUCCUCACUCCGUGUUGAGCGAAUGCUCGCGACACAGGGGGAAUAAAUUUUGUCGGUGAUACCUACCUUGGCACAACACUGACCCUGCCACAAUUUGUUCCCCCGGUUCAAAUCAUGGACAAACAGUAUCCCACAGUUGGUUAUGUGUUUAAACCCAUUUUGCACAGAGAGACAUUUUUUGAAGAAUGUAUUGACAGCAGCGUUGAUUGUAAAACAAUGAGGGGCCUAGCAAAAAAAGUUGGGGAACCACUGUUUUAGCCACAGUGUAAAUGAAUGAUGUACAUGGAUGUGCAGUCUGCCCAAGUCACCUAUUAGAAGGUCUGUUUUUUAAUUAAAAUAAAAGUAAUUUCGAAGUUUCUAAACUACUUGGAAUCACCCGUCUCAUUCUUUGUUUAAAAGAUGUUGUCAUGACACAUUUGCGUGUUAGGACGACUGUGGACCCAAAUGCAGGACUCAGCAGAAAGACUUAAACUCAAAACACAGCGUUAUUAGCUAGUAAAUGGCAAACUUAACAACACAUACAGCUGAGUAAAACAGGAGUAAACAGACUGAAAACUAACACUGACAGAGAGAAGGGAGAACACACAACAUGAGGAGAGGUCACAACAAUUGACUGAAGGAAACUAAAGGCUUAAAUACACACGAGGUGAUCGGGGAGAUGAAACUCACGGGAACACAGGUGAACUAAAUCUGACUACCAAGACAGAGGAUGCAAAACUGAAUGUACGGGCAGGAGACAGGGGACUAACAAAAUAAAACAGGAAGGAACACACUGAGACUGAGACAUGGCAUUUGGACUGGGGAUAAACAGACAUGGAGACAUGACAGACUGGGGACACAAAAGGAUGAAACACAGCGAUGAAGAUGGGAACAGGGAAAAACCACAGCCAGACAGACCUGAACACAACUGGGGAGACCAGAGGUAAAACAACACAGAGACAUAAGACAGGGACGAAACUAACAGACUGGACACAAAAGGACAAGAAAUCAAGAAAUAUAAAUAACAAUCUCAUAGACAACAGAGUGAAACAUAAUCAGGAAUUAAAAGCUAAAUUAACGUAUAACUUUAAAAAGACACAUAAUUACAUAAUUUUGUCUGUGGCAGGUGAGUGACCACAGUUUUGUAUUAAACAGUUUAUAUUUUGACAGGAAGCCCCUCAGUGUUGAGCUUUCAGUGUCACUGCUCCUUUAGUAGGUGAGUUGCAGAUGGAUUCACACGAUGAAACUGCAGCCAGUUAAAUAAGAUUAGUUAACUUCAAACACUCUGUUUUGGAAGACAAAAAAAGGUUACAAGAAAAUGUAAAACUAAACCAUAAAUAAAUGGACAAAAAAAAACCCUGUGAAAACAGAGGAGUGUGGGUUUGAGGGAGGGACCACAACAAGAAGCGAAAGUUAGAAGUUCCUGGUUUGCAAACAGAGAAGAAAGAGAAGCAGCAUUAAGCAUUACACCGUCAGAACCUCGAGAUGAAACUCUGUCACAUUUUCUUCUGCUCCAUCUUCCUCUACCUGCAGGAUGGAAACACUGGACUUGCCAACGCUGAAACUCUCGUCUAUGAAGGAGUGGAAGGAGGAAACAUCACAGUUGAAUGUAAAUUUGUGAUCCUUGGAAGAAAGACAUUGUUCUGCAAAGACAAAUGUGAAAAAGGAAACGUUCUCAUUGAAACAGCUGGUUACACAGCUCAGAGCGGCAGAUACAGCAUUAAAUAUGAAAAAAAUUAUUUCUCAAAGGAUAUUGUGUAUGUGAGCAUCACACAGCUGAACAAGUCUGAUGCAGGAUUGUACAGCUGCAAACUGGACACAAGUUUACAACCAUGUGAUUUUCAGCUUGUCAUCACAGGAGCUUCAAACAUUUCAACACCAAAUCAGCCUUUUUCAGUAUCAACAUUUCUCCUGUCGGCCUCCACAACAACAACAACACAGCAUUUGAACUUCAGUUCAAGAAGCUUCACACCAUCAUCAGCCUCCUCUGAAGUCUCCAGACAGUCUCAAACCGCUGCAGGUUCAGGUAAGCUGCUUCAUGUGAUUCUGAUUCUGGUCGCUAUGAUCACCAUCUUAUCAGCAGCUUUGCUGAUUUUCUACAAGCACAGGAAGAAUAAACCAAAAGGACCUCCUGUGAAAACUGAACAUGCUGACAUCACACAGGCCAACGGGCUUUAUGGAAACAUCACAGAGGAUGAAACUCAGAACAGUGUAACUCCUGUACGGGUGUUUUCAGUUUAUGACUACCCCGAAGGCUCGCAACCAGAUGGAGUUGAAAAACAACAGCUCUACAGCCUCGUCACCGGUCCUCAGAACACGGCUACAGAUGACAUGAAUGAUGCUGAUUACACUGAAGUGGAUUUUUCCCACAUUCCUUCCUCCAACAGCGCCCCCUGUGGUAAUAUAUGUGAUACUGUCUACUGUAUACCUGAGGUUUAUGCCAAUCACACCAACGUUGGUUCACCUCCUCUGUACUCUACUGUAGAAAUACAUUAGUUCUAAUGCUGUGGAUGGCACCUCAGUAGUCAGCAGGUGAACAUAAUUAGCCUUGGAUAAAUGCUAUUUUUUUAUGAUAGUUACUCAUAGUUUAGCUUUAAAAAUAACUAUUUUGCUUUUUUUUCAAACUGUAGUAUUUCAUAAUUAUGUUAUUGUCAUAAUUCAUAGACAAUUACAUAAAAUCAUAAUGAAAUAAACUGCAGCAUCCCAUAACUGUCUAACUGUCUGUUGGAUGGUUAGGCAUUGCAUUUAGCCUUUUAGUUUUCAGCAGCCUGUUUGGAGCAGCUGUGCAGAGUGAUAGAUUGACCAGCAAGCAGGCUGUUCAUGGAGGGAAGCUGCUAAAUUUAGUUAGCAACCAACCAGGUGGCGAAUUUCACAUGUAAUUUUAACUGGUUAGAUUUUAACCUAACCAAGUAGUCCUAUUUUUCUGAAAGCAAACAAAACUAAAACUGACAACUGAAAUAAUAUGAAAGAUUUCAGCACUUUGGCCGACACUUGAUGUCUUUUAAAUGUGCUAUACAAAUAAAGCUGACUUGACUUGACUUGAAAACAAAUUAUUAAGCUUUGGAAAGCUUGAAAAGUUCUAAAGAUGCUUACUAAUAGCAUUAAUCUCACUGCAAAGUGAAUUUCUUUACCAGCAUAGCUAACUAGUGCUAGCUAGCAUUAGCCAGUAGGCUACCAUUCCAGCCACCUUUUUGUUCAAAUAUGGCCACUUGUGUUUACCAAAAAUAGAAUAAUGCAUUAUUAAAGACCUCAAAAAGCUGGUCCAAGUUUCACAGUGGUUAUGUCCAUCUUUGAGUCCAUAACAGAGCGACAGCAGCUACAUUAAUGGAAAAUAUAACCUGUGGAAAUGAACCAGUAAAUUAUAAAUGUUUUGGUUCAACUUUUUAUUUAAAAAAUACUCUCUGUGAAGUUUUCUCUCUGUUACUCGAUAAUCCAGAAAUGUUUGCCAACAGUCUAUGUUGAGAGGGAUUUUCUAACAACUUUACUGAAUGCAGUGUGAUAUGAAACUAAGUCCAGCUCAUUUCCUCCAAUCUCUUCAGUCAAAGAUCAUUUUAUUGCAGGUUCACACAAAAAAUUGACGGAUGAAUUUAAAUGUCAUGUUAUGUGGUGUUUUUCCACAUGUAUCCCGUGUAUGGACACAUGCCAGUGAUGGAUGUCUCUUAUAAUAGCAGCAGUAGUUCUGAGAAGAUCUCUUUGUAUCCUCCUGACCUUUAAGACCUUUAAUACAAAAUGAAAUGAGAGCUGGUUGGAAUGAAUUUCUACAAACUGUUUAAUAGAUAUUGAUCACAAAUAUAAGGUUCCAACAGUGUAACCAUAAAGCUUCUUAUUUAUGUCAUUUUACACUGAAAAUCAUGAAUGUACUGAAUUUACUAUAUUAAUUUAACAAAUGUUAAUUUGUUCACUUAAAAACUAUGUUAUUAUUAUAUGCAUUUAAGCUAUUGCAUUUACAUAUAUAUGUAUAUAUUUUUAUAUCUGUUAUUUAUGUUUCACUGUGCUCAGCAUUACAGUAUUUUUUAGGAUGCAGUAAACUGUAAAACAAUAAUACUGUUUAAAUAACUGAACUGUAAUAAAUCAACUUUGUCUUGUGAUCUGAGGUCGACAGAGAUUGAAGUCCCCCCUUUACCGCCUCUGAUGAUCAGGAAACUGUUUCCUGAUCAUAAAGCAUUUCUAUUCUUAAUCAAAGAUAAAUCAAAAUGUAAGUUUGAUCAAUACAUAAAUGAGAAAUGCAGUUUGAGUUGUAGAAAUUAGUGUUAUAAUAUCUGAGAACUGUGUCACCAACUCUUAAAAAAAGCAUUAAGUAUUGUCAUUGUUAAACACAGAAGCAUGAUUUAUAUGUGGUUUUACUGAUAUGUGGUUUUACUGAUAGUAACACAGUCAGAUAGAGAGAGGGGAUAAGGUGUGGGUGGACCUCGGAUAAUUAAAUGUCAGCACCUUGAUUGGAUGGCUAAAAUGUGAAGAUGUGACGUCCAGUGAAGGAAGGGGGAGAAAGGGUGAGCAGGUAUAAAAGUGGGAUGAAGAAGAGAUUCUGAGUUCUUCCCUUUUGUCUUCUGUGAGAUGAGCAGUUCAGAUGAUUGGAUCUAAGAGGUUCACAGUUCAAAUUCCAGCAGCGAUGCUCGAGGGGGAACUGCAGUCCUGUAAAUGUGCAAAAUUGGUUUUAUAUUUUUUGGCUUUUCAUCUGCUCAUUUUUGCCUAUUUAGUUAAUUCAGAACAAUUUAAAUUUACAUUAUACUUCCACUGAAUGCCGAGCGGCUUUGUGAUUAUUAUCAACUCAGAACAUGAGGAUAAGUGCAUCUUCAGAUCCAGGUGUGCUCAUCCUUUCUCCAUCCUCUCUUCACCAAAGAUAAGAGCACAAUCAGCAUUAGCUCAGGUGUAUUAAGUGAGUAGUAAGAUAGUAAAAAUCAUCAAUUAAACUAUUAGAUUUCUUUUUUGUUCUUGCUAAAUUUCUUGAAUAAACUUUCCUGCAAUUAAAGUCUAAAUUGUGGACAUUCACUUUCUAACCUUUUAUGAAAGAGUAAAGGUAGAAGUUUGAGUAUUAUUCUUUAUUAGCUCACACAGCUCUUACAGGUUACCAGGUCAAGACUUUUUAAUCGGAGAACAGAACCAGACUGCCUGUAUAGAAGUUUUUUGUGGCCAUAUUCGGCAGUUGGCACCCGACGUGCUGAGUCAUUGAACCCAAGACCCUGAAAGGUCGAUAGUUGGCACCUGGACAGUCUUGGAAGCUGAAUCUGUGACCCUGAAGAUCUACAUUUGGUUUAGAGAAGAACGUUUUGGACAUUGACGAUCUUCCUGGGCUCUAACUGAUUAACCCAUAAAGCUCAUACUCAAGAGACGUGUUUUGUUUUUAGUGAAAAAAAACAUGAAGAUCGGCAGGUUAAACAUUCUAGAUCUAUGCAGUAACUAUCAUCACAGUAAAUAUUAGAAAUAAAAGACUAAAUACAACAUGUGACAGGUUUAAAGAAAUAAUGAGACACUGCAGGUAAACAGAGAGAGGAUGAGGAGGAUGAAGGUCA